rnacentral:rRNA from 1 species
GAUGAACGCUAGCGGCAGGCUUAACACAUGCAAGUCGAGGGGUAGGUUACUUCGGUAAUUGAGACCGGCGCACGGGUGCGUAACGCGUAUACAAUCUACCUUUUACAGAGGGAUAGCCCAGAGAAAUUUGGAUUAAUACCUCAUAGUAUUUUUGAAUCGCAUGAUUUGAUUAUUAAAGUUCCAACGGUAAAAGAUGAGUAUGCGUCCCAUUAGCUAGAUGGUAAGGUAACGGCUUACCAUGGCUACGAUGGGUAGGGGUCCUGAGAGGGAGAUCCCCCACACUGGUACUGAGACACGGACCAGACUCCUACGGGAGGCAGCAGUGAGGAAUAUUGGACAAUGGGGCGCAAGCCUGAUCCAGCCAUGCCGCGUGCAGGAAGAAGGU